GACGAACGCUGGCGGCGUGCCUAAUACAUGCAAGUCGAACGCAGUGGGGACGGGUGAGUAACACGUGGGUAACCUCCCAUCAGAGGGGAUAACACUUGGAAACAGGUGCUAAACCGAUACUGAUGGAUGGACCCGCGGUGCAUUAGCUAGUUGGUGAGGGAACGGCUCAACAAGGCCACGAUGCAUAGGCGACCUUGGAGGGUGUGCGGCCACACUGGGACUGAGACACGGCCCAGAAGCCUACGGUAGGCAGCAGUGGGGAAUAUUGCACAAUGGGCCCAAGCCUGAGGCAGCCAUGCCGCGUGUAUGAAGGAGGCCUUAGGGUUGUAAGACUUUCAGCGGGGAGGAACGUUACCCGCAGAAGAAUCACCGGCUAACUCCGUGGCAGCAGCCGCGGUAAUUC
rnacentral:rRNA from 1 species